rnacentral:lncRNA from 1 species
CCCACUCCAUGCUACUGUUAUGUACACAGACGAGAAGUUUGUUUGAGAAAGAGUAUGCUUGCUUCCUUUCAUCUAAUAUCAUAUGUUUCUGUUUCCUAUGUGAAACUGAUGGUUCAUGUCUCUAACUUCUACUGCUUUACAGUUUUGCACAAAAGCUUUUGUAACCAUGAUGCUGAUAUACCUAUGAUUGUUACUUCAUGUGCUACUAUAUAUGUAGGGAGAUUUUUAUAAAGGUACCAGAAUUUAUCUUCUUCCACAUUAAGUCAAUAUUUAGUAACGCAGUUCUAUUUUCGUUUGCAAACCAGUUCAUUCGACACAAGGAAGAAAAUCUACUCUGGAUAGUUGAUUUAGUGUUUCUUGAACAUGGCCAGGGCAAUGGAUAAAAUCUACUCUGGAUAGUUGACAGAGGGAGUACAUGCUAAGUUGAAUUUUUUCCUGCGGAUUUGCUUAUUGUGAAGAUGCUUGCAAGGAUGCAGAGGGAGCGGAUCAUUUGGAGAGAUAGGAUGCCACUGUUUGGUGUUUUUAUGCAUUUUGGUUUGCUUGUAACUCUGUUUGCACUAGCUGGGAGUAAGUGACUUCAAGAAGUGUAGGUGUUUUAAUUGAAGGCAUGAAAAGACAUGACAAUAUGUAUGAUCUUACAUGAUGUGCUCUAAUGCCACUGGUUUAUUAUAAAUCUUGGAUUAGUAAUGAUGUGUAAUGCUGCUGGUUUAUUGCAAAUAUGUGUU